CACCACUGCAAGAGGGGAAGUUGCUACUGUGAUGAAUUCUGCCAUGUGGUACCAGACUGCUACCCAGACCACAGUGUCCUCUGCAACCCUCGUCAAAGGUGCCUACAUGUUCCUUCUAGCUUUGUUUCCCUGAUGUUCCUUGCCACCUGCUACUCCUCUCUGAGCUACUUUUCCAGCUUCUCAGAUGACCAAGAUGGUGCUGCAGAUGGUGCUGAGGAUGGAGAACCCACCAAGCCCCGCUAGGAGCCACCUAGACUGGAUGUAGAGCAUGGCCCCAGCACCCGCAGAGCAGACACUGCGAUGACAACGGACGACACAGAAGUGCCCGCUAUGACUCCAGCACCGGGCCACGCCGCUCUGGAAACUCAAACGCUGAGCGCUGAGACCUCUUCUAGGGCCUCAACCCCAGUCGGCCCCAUUCCAGAAGCAGAGACCAGGGGAGCCAAGAGAAUUUCCCCUGCAAGAGAG
rnacentral:lncRNA from 1 species